CAUCCAAGGACAAUUUCUUGUU
rnacentral:miRNA from 1 species